NNNNNNUUUUGGCUAAGAUCAAGUGUAGUAUCUGUUCUUAUCAGUUUAAUAUCUGAUAUGUGGUCCAUUGGACCACACGAUAUUAAAUUAAUUUGUUGAGGGUAAGAGGCCACUACAUUAGCUUGCUAUUGGGCCUCUUGAGCGUCGUCUAUGUGUUGCACUACAACAUGGGCUUGGCGCACCCCAU
rnacentral:snRNA from 1 species